rnacentral:rRNA from 1 species
UAAUACGUAGGGGGCGAGCGUUGUCCGAAGUUACUGGGCGUAAAGCGCGCGUAGGCGGCUCUUUAAGUCCGGCGUGAAAGGUUCAGGGCUCAACCCGAACAGUGCGCUGGAGACUGGGGAGCUUGAGGAUGGGAGAGGGAAGCGGAAUUCCGGGUGUAGCGGUGAAAUGCGUAGAUAUCCGGAGGAACACCGAUGGCGAAGGCAGCUUCCUGGCCCGUAUCUGACGCUGAGGUGCGAAAGCGUGGGGAGCGAACGGGAUUAGAUACCCCGGUAGUCCACGCCGUAAACGAUGAGUGCUAGGUGUUCGAGGUAUCGACCCCUCGGGUGCCGCAGCUAACGCAGUAAGCACUCCGCCUGGGGAGUACGGCCGCAAGGUUG